UGCAGCUGUGUCAAAUUCAAUGCCUGCCUUACCCAUGGAAGGCACUGGCCCCAAAGGCUGCCACAGAGAUACUGUAACUCAUGGGCACUGUUCCUCUUGCUUGAGCCUCAGGGAUAAAUUUUGUUACAGACAUGG
rnacentral:snoRNA from 1 species